rnacentral:ncRNA from 16 species
GGGCUAUAGCUCAGCUGGGAGAGCGCCUGCCUUGCACGCAGGAUGUCAUCGGUUCGACUCCGAUA